UGGGGAAUUUUGGACAAUGGGCGAAAGCCUGAUCCAGCAAUGCCGCGUGUGUGAAGAAGGCCUUCGGGUUGUAAAGCACUUUUGUCCGGAAAGAAAUCCUUGGCUCUAAUACAGUCGGGGGAUGACGGUACCGGAAGAAUAAGCACCGGCUAACUACGUGCCAGCAGCCGCGGUAAUACGUAGGGUGCAAGCGUUAAUCGGAAUUACUGGGCGUAAAGCGUGCGCAGGCGGUUUGCUAAGACCGAUGUGAAAUCCCCGGGCUCAACCUGGGAACUGCAUUGGUGACUGGCAGGCUAGAGUAUGGCAGAGGGGGGUAGAAUUCCACGUGUAGCAGUGAAAUGCGUAGAGAUGUGGAGGAAUACCGAUGGCGAAGGCAGCCCCCUGGGCCAAUACUGACGCUCAUGCACGAAAGCGUGGGGGAGCAAACAGGAUUAGAUACCCUGGUAGUCCACGCCCUAAACGAUGUCAACUAGUUGUUGGGGAUUCAUUUCCUUAGUAACGUAGCUAACGCGUGAAGUUGACCGCCUGGGGAGUACGGUCGCAAGAUUAAACUCAAUGAAUUGACGGGGUCAUAGCUGUUUCCU
rnacentral:rRNA from 1 species